CCUGGGCUAUUCUAGGACAGGAAUAUUGCAGGGAUGUCUGUCGGGGCUGGGUUUGAUAUCCAACCAUCAGGAAUCUCCUUGAUAGCAAGAUCAGGAGAAGAGUGGCAGAAAGAAGAAAAUUCUUCCUGGUGGGAUUGGCUCCCAAAUUGGAAGCUGCUGUGAAAUGCAUUUGUGGCAGUCACUGUGAUCAUUGCAGUGUGAGCACUUGGUGUGUUAUGGUUCCAUGUUAGAGUACUUGUGACACCUUGUGCUGGAAAUGGAGUACUGAGAUUUGUCUAAAAAGAGACACAGUCUCAAAAAAAAGUGGGCUGUAACAAAGAACAUAGAGAAUAACAACUAAUUAGGGCUGUUUUAGUCAGACCCUGCCUGACUGAAGCCUCAACAACAGGCCCUGAGCCAAAGCUGACCUUUAGAUAAACCUUCCAACCAAAUGUUAUAUUUGUAUCUGCUCAUUAAUGAAUCAUUAUUAGCAAUAUGAUUUCUGUAUGUGUUCAUUGGUGAAACAUGGAUUUACCUUUCUGUGUUUGGAAACUGGACCAGGCCCCAUCUGGCCUUGUUUGGGGGUGAAGGUUCAAAUUCACCUCCCUUGGUUCCUCCUUGAGCCCUGGCCAGGCUUUGGAAGAAGCCAAACAGGAGAAUUAAACCAGUUAUUCCCACACUAGCAGUGAUGUCAGCUUGUUUGUUUAACACUGUAAAAGCUGGGGCCUCUCACAGCGAGGCUGGAGCCUCACUGGCUGCAAAGGUGGAGGCACCUGCAGGAAUUCCCAGUGUCCAGGAGUGGCUCUCCAGUCCGUGGCUGUGAAAGGGUUAAAAGCACUGUGCCUAGGCAUACUUGGGCAAGAAUAAGAGACAUUGCACCCAACAAGGAAGCUUGCAAAAAUUCAGCCACAAGCUAAAGACACAGGAUGAAACUUGGCAAGAAAUAGGGAACAAAGCUGGCAGAAAUGAAAAGCAGAGCUUGAUAAAACCAGUGAGGAAAUUGCUGAAACAGCCAACAAGAGACUGCGCAUGCCUAGAGGAGAAAGGUGAAAAGGGCACAGUGAUGAAGACGUCCAGCCUUCAUCAGGAGACCCCCGAGGAAGUCGCGGAGCCUUCCUCAGUGCCACCACCAGUGUGCACUGCACCUGUGCCUCGUGUAUGCUAAUGAUUGUAAUGAGUACUGAGAAAUCGUUUGCAUAACCACACCUUUUCUGAGGAGAAACAUGAAUAUGCAUAGAGUAUAACUGUAUAUUGUAAUCUGCUGUGUGCCUGUGUGCGCUGUCAGGAGGAGAUAUCCCUGCACACCUGGUGUGCUGAAUAAAGUAAAUCCCCUUCCUUGGACUUUGUCUGGGAAGUGUCUCUUGGCCCGGUUUGGGGCCAUUCACAUCCAUGGGGUUCUGUCAAGUCACAGUGGAACCUUGGUGCCCUGUUGUUGCACAGCCUCACAAUGCUCUCCUGCUGCCAUGAGGUCCCUCCCUCGGUGACACACUGCAGCCCUGGUUCCAUGAGGGGCUCUUGGCUUCCAUGGUGCACGCCUUUGUCACAUCUGAGCCUUGCUUCCAUGGGUUCCAUGGACUGAUAGGGGCCCUCUGCAUUCCAUGGGGCCCAGCUAGAUCACAGCAGAGCCUGGCUUUCAUCAGGUUCUGAUACCUGUUCUGCCAGCUGACUGGGGUGAUUUAAAGAACACAGAAACCAAUGGGAAGAAUGGUCUUACUUUACUGUGAGUGUUAAGGCAAUGCAAAGUUAAAUUAUACAUUCAAUAAAACUACCUGCUUGGCUUUAUCAACAAGCAAAAAGAAGCAAGGUGAAUCAAAAUACAUCGAGGAAGAGGAGAGGCCUUCAUCAGGGAUGACCUCCAAUGAGUGGUGCAACCACCUAAAAAAUGGUGGAGCAUGCAUGGAGUCAGAGGAAGAGAAUAUGUGUGACCUGCCUGGCUUUAACGUUGUGCCAGGAGCAAUGCCAUGGGGAAGCUGGUCAGAGGAGCAUCUGAGAAGUGUGUGGUACAUCAGGGAUGUCCUACUACUGAUCUUUGCACAGAGAUGAAAAAGUAUCAGUUUGCAUGGCCUGAAUGUCUGGCUCGGGACAUUCUGCAUUGCACGAGAUGUGCUGAGUUCAUCUGGCUCUGAAAUAUCAUCUCUGCACCUUAGCCAGGAACAGCAUCAGAGUUCUGAACAGAUUCAUCAAAAUCAGUCAUAACCCAGAGGCAAACCUUGGCAAUACACA